GUGUUGGGUAUUAGAGUAUAAUGCCGUUAGGUGUCAGUUGGCUGCAGGGAACCAUUGCAGACAACUGAUCACUGGGAACAUGUAGGCCAUGGCAUCUGACUGUGAGCCUGCUAGGAAAGGAUCGCCCUGUUUUGAAUCACCCUCGUCCAUCAAAGGGGCUUCAUUUGAGGUGGCCUCAGGAAAUCAGCCUGUAAUCUGGGAUCACUGACUUGCUGCUGAAAAAUCCAGAUGGAAAGAAAGGCAGGGUUUUCCUGCUGGCUUCAGUCUGGAGAUCUGACUCCAGCUUCUGCUGGGCACGAGGCGGGCGUGGUGGAAGGAGCAGUUUUUGCAGAGUUUGGCCACAGGAGACAUGAUUCCAGCAGUGACAAUGAAGACACUCCAGGCAGAUGUGCACACUGGAGAGAGGGCGCCAUGAAGAGGCUUCCCAGGGGCAACCCAGCCAGGCCUGCUGCUUCAGAGAUGAAGAAGGAAGAGGGGGAUGAAAUCGGAAAAGAAGGAAAUAUGUGUAAUAUGUAAAAUGUUAAGCGAUUAUGCCUGUGGCCUCUGA